rnacentral:tRNA from 1 species
CGGGGCGUAGCGCAGUCUGGUAGCGCACAGCGUUUGGGACGCUGGGGCCGUGGGUUCGAAUCCCUCCGCCCCGACCA